rnacentral:rRNA from 1 species
GACGGGGGGGGCAAGUGUUCUUCGGAAUGACUGGGCGUAAAGGGCACGUAGGCGGUGAAUCGGGUUGAAAGUGAAAGUCGCCAAAAAGUGGCGGAAUGCUCUCGAAACCAAUUCACUUGAGUGAGACAGAGGAGAGUGGAAUUUCGUGUGUAGGGGUGAAAUCCGUAAAUAUACGAAGGAACGCCAAAAGCGAAGGCAGCUCUCUGGGUCCCUACCGACGCUGGGGUGCGAAAGCGUGGGGAGCAAACAGG